AGUGAACUUCGUUUGAAGUGAAAAUCCUUUUAUCUCGUUUUUUAACGAGAUAAAAGAUUGUAACGAAUAGCCGGAAUAGCU
rnacentral:sRNA from 1 species